rnacentral:rRNA from 1 species
UGGGGAAUAUUGGACAAUGCGGGAAACCGUGAUCCAGCAAUGCCGCGUGAGUGAUGAAGGCCUUAGGGUUGUAAGGCUCUUUUACCAGGGAUGAUAAUGACAGUACCUGGAGAAUAAGCUCCGGCUAACUCCGUGCCAGCAGCCGCGGUAAUACGGAGGGAGCUAGCGUUGUUCGGAAUUACUGGGCGUAAAGCGCGCGUAGGCGGACCAGUCAGUCAGAGGUGAAAUCCCAGGGCUCAACCCUGGAACUGCCUUUGAUACUGCUGGUCUCGAGUCCGAGAGAGGUGAGUGGAAUUCCGAGUGUAGAGGUGAAAUUCGUAGAUAUUCGGAGGAACACCAGUGGCGAAGGCGGCUCACUGGCUCGGUACUGACGCUGAGGUGCGAAAGCGUGGGGAGCAAACAGGAUUAGAUACCCCCGUAGUCC